CCUACGGGUGGCAGCAGUGGGGGAUAUUGCACAAUGGGGGAAACCCUGAUGCAGCGACGCCGCGUGGGUGAAGACGCGCCUCGGCGCGUAAAGCCCUGUCAGCAGGGAGGAAAAUGACGGUACCUGAAGAAGAAGCCACGGCUAACUACGUGCCAGCAGCCGCGGUAAUACGUAGGGGGCAAGCGUUAUCCGGAUUUACUGGGUGUAAAGGGGGCGCAGACGGCGAUGCAAGCCAGGAGUGAAAGCCCGGGGCCCAACCCCGGGACUGCUGUUGGAACUGCGUGGCUAGAGUGCAGGAGGGGCAGGCGGAAUUCCUGGUGUAGCGGUGAAAUGCGUAGAUAUCAGGAGGAACACCGGUGGCGAAGGCGGCCUGCUGGACUGCAACUGACGUUGAGGCCCGAAAGCGUGGGGAGCAAACAGGAUUAGAUACCCUAGUAGUC
rnacentral:rRNA from 1 species